GAUGUCAAAUAGCCUGACCAGCUCUGGAAGGACUGCUAGCAGGGCAGAAUCUCCAGGAAUGAUGCAUCUUAUUGACUGAAUAUGGAACCAUCACCAAUUCAACACUGAAUAAAAGAAAGCACCAGUGAUGACGAUGAGGAAAAGACCCAGCCAGGAUUAACAUAAAAGCAUAAGCAUCAUAACUGACACUGCUUGUUGGUGGGAAACACAAGCGAGGAUGUUAAAGAGAGCAAGGUGUGCCGUCCAAGAGAGGACUCAGCAGCUGAAGACGGGCCCGCGGUGGGUUCCGGAGGUUGGACGAAGACGGGCCCUCGGUGGGUGCCGGAGGUCGGAGAGAAGACGAAGAGGAGCGAGUAGUUACGACAAAUGCAGAACACGACACCUGAAAGACAAGGGAUCUCUGGUAAUGAAGCCUAUCUUUUGUCACAGGACAGAACCCACACCCAAAUCAACACUCGACAAAAGAAAUAAGGAGCAUACAUUGAGGAACAGGAGCAUCAGAACCCUACCACGGAUUGUCACUGGGAAAAACAAGGCAUCACAACUGACCAGAAGUAGCUGGAGCUAACGAUGAUUGAGAACC